rnacentral:Y_RNA from 1 species
GGCUGGUCUGAGUGCAGUGGUGUUUACAACUAAUUGUUCACAACCAGUUACAGAUUUUCUUUGUUCAUGCCCCACUCCCACUACUUCACUUGACUAGCCUUAA